rnacentral:rRNA from 1 species
AGGACUAACGCUGGCGGCGUGCCUAACACAUGCAAGUCGAACGAGAGUAGCAAUACUCUAGUGGCAGACGGGUGAGUAACACGUGGUCAACCUACCUCUAUGUGGGGGAUAACUAGCCGAAAGGUUAGCUAAUACCGCAUACGAUCGUCGAGCGGCAUCGCUUGACGAUGAAAGGAGCAAUCCGCAGAGAGACGGGACCGCGUCCCAUUAGCUAGUUGGUGGGGUAAAGGCCUACCAAGGCGACGAUGGGUAGCUGGCUUGAGAGAGCGACCAGCCACACUGGGACUGAGACACGGCCCAGACUCCUACGGGAGGCAGCAGUGAGGAAUUUUCCGCAAUGGGCGAAAGCCUGACGGAGCGACGCCGCGUGUGGGAAGAAGGCCUUCGGGUCGUAACCACUGUCGAAGGGGAAGAGUAUUGACGGUACCCUUGGAGGAAGCCCCGGCUAACUACGCGCCAGCAGCCGC